UGUGAAUUGCAGAAUUCAGUGAAUCAUCGAAUCUUUGAACGCACCUUGCGCUCCUUGGUAUUCCGAGGAGCAUGCCUGUUUGAGUGUCAUUAAAUUCUCAAUCUUACCAGCUUUUGUUGGAGAAGACUUGGAUGUGGGGGGGAAAAUUUUUGAAGGUUUCUCGCGGAACCUUCUCCCCUGAAAUGCAUUAGCUGGACGCUCGCGCGGACAGUCUAUUGGUGUGAUAAUUAUCUACGCCAUUAGCUGACUGCCAUUAGUAGCACCGCUUCUAACUGUCUUCGGACAAUAUAUGACAAUUUGACCUCAAAUCAGGUAGGACUACCCGCUGAACUUAAGCAUAUCAAUAAGCGGAGGAAAAGAAACUAACAAGGAUUCCCCUAGUAACUGCGAGUGAAGCGGGAAAAGCUCAAAUUUAAAAUCUGGUGGUCUUUGGCCAUCCGAGUUGUAAUCUAGAGAAGUGUUAUCCGCGCUGGACCGUGUACAAGUCUCCUGGAAUGGAGCGUCAUAGAGGGUGAGAAUCCCGUCUUUGACACGGACUACCAGGGCUUUGUGAUGCGCUCUCAAAGAGUCGAGUUGUUUGGGAAUGCAGCUCAAAAUGGGUGGUAAAUUCCAUCUAAAGCUAAAUAUUGGCGAGAGACCGAUAGCGAACAAGUACCGUGAGGGAAAGAUGAAAAGAACUUUGGAAAGAGAGUUAAACAGUACGUGAAAUUGCUGAAAGGGAAACGCUUGAAGUCAGUCGCGUUGUCUGGGNAUCAACCUUGCUUUUGCUGGGCGUACUUUCCAGAUGACGGGUCAGCAUCAAUUUUGACCGUUGGAUAAAGAUUAGAGGAAUGUGGCAUCCUCGGAUGUGUUAUAGCCUUUGGUUGUAUACAACGGUUGGGAUUGAGGAACUCAGCACGCCGCAAGGCCGGGUACUUGUACCACGUUCGUGCUUAGGAUGCUGGCAUAAUGGCUUUAAUCGACCCGUCUUGAAACACGGACCAAGGAGUCUAACAUGCCUGCGAGUAUUUGGGUGGUAAACCCGAGUGCGUAAUGAAAGUGAAAGUUGAGAUCCUUGUCAUGGGGAGCAUCGACGCCCGGACCAGACCUUUUGUGACGGAUCUGCGGUAGAGCAUGUAUGUUGGGACCCGAAAGAUGGUGAACUAUGCCUGAAUAGGGUGAAGCCAGAGGAAACUCUGGUGGAGGCUCGUAGCGAUUCUGACGUGCAAAUCGAUCGUCAAAUUUGGGUAUAGGGGCGAAAGACUAAUCGAACCAUCUAGUAGC
rnacentral:rRNA from 1 species